rnacentral:rRNA from 1 species
ACGCUCGACACCUACGGGAGACAGCGGUGGGGAAUAUUGCACAAUGGGGGAAACCCUGAUGCAGCGACGCCGCGUGAGUGAAGAAGUAUUUCGGUAUGUAAAGCUCUAUCAGCAGGGAAGAAAAUGACGGUACCUGAGUAAGAAGCCCCGGCUAACUACGUGCCAGCAGCCGCGGUAAUCUGAGCGGGCUGGCAAGGC